GGCCUAUUUCGCCAUGGCGGAGCUCGACCGCCGGUCGCGGACAUGAUCGCGUUCAUCGACGACCAUCGGGAUGCCUACGGGGUCGAGCCGAUCUGCAGGGUGCUGCCGAUCGCCCCU
rfam:Methylobacterium sp. 4-46, complete genome.